AAGCAAAAAAAAUGAAAAGUUACGUGGCUGCACGAAAAAAAGCAGUACAAAUCAAAUUACAAAAAUUUGAUCGUCGUGUAAACUUUGGUGUCGUGGCUCUGUAAAAGAAUCGCCUAAAUCACACUCCAUGCUUUUGGGCGGGUAAAUAAAAUAAGUUUACAAAAAGAAUGAUGAUGGGAUGGGAGCUUAAGUAAAAGUGUUAAGCCUGUUCCAAAUUUUUGAAUAGUUAGUUUCUGACUAGCUUUUACUACAUUUAACUAGCAUUCAUGAUAUUUGAGUCUUUGAACCAGCCAACGUAACAACAAGAUAUUCCAGUUUUGCUUCUGCUGGACCUGUCAUCACAGCAACAAUGUCAUCAUCAUCACUUGGAUAAACAGCAUCCCUGUUGAUUGGAGAUUCUACCCAUGGCCGAGCUACGUAUCUCUUCCUUCCUUCCCCUUUCUUAAAAUGUCCUCGUGUACACUUCAUGUGA